rnacentral:rRNA from 1 species
UACGGGGGGAGCAAGCGUUGUUCGGAUUUACUGGGCGUAAAGGGCGCGUAGGCGGCCACCGCAAGUCGACUGUGAAAUCUCCGGGCUUAACCCGGAAAGGUCAGCCGAUACUGCGGGGCUAGAGUGCAGAAGGGGCAACUGGAAUUCUCGGUGUAGCGGUGAAAUGCGUAGAUAUCGAGAGGAACACCUGCGGCGAAGGCGGGUUGCCGGGCUGACACUGACGCUGAGGCGCGAAAGCUAGGGGAGCGAACGGG